CUCGCAGAGCUGAUUCGCCUCCUGGGCCCCUUGCGCUGCAUCGGCUUCGGCACAGCGGCCUCUGACUUACGCCCAGGUUUGUGUCGAGGGAGGGGGACCUGCCGGGCUGCCAGCCUGCCACGGGUCCCCCCAUCAUUGCACAGCCCCGACUAACGAUUCCUGGGGGACCGACUGCAACACCAAGCUCAAGAAACGGCAAGGCAAGGAAGACUCCAACAGUCUUUUUUCCCAGCCAUGUUUUGCUGAAGAAAUGAUUUUAAGGGGGAAAAAGAAGAAAAUGCAUUUUUGUGUAAGCAGAAUGGAGCACAGCUUUCCGCGGUGCCCAGGCCAAACAGUGCAUCUUCCAAGAGAAGAGACUGUCCGAAGGGCUGACCGCGAAGCGAGCACUGGCUGACGCUCCCGUCCGCGGCGCUGUGCCCCAGCCAACACUGUGCUCUUUUGCAGGCCUCAGCCCUUAAUGGGAGCCAUCUUCCAGGAGAUGUUUCCAGCUCAAAUCUCUCUUGUCAAGUCACCUCAGUAAUUCAGGUACUUUGCCAGGUUAAAGGAAGAUGUGGAUGGCACAGAGAGAUCUCCUCCGAAGAGGGGAGCGUGGCAAGCUACCUCUGAGGACCUCCAGGGACAAGUCUGUAAUAUUGCCAGCUGCUCCGAGAUCGUUCAGUGAAAGGCCUUUCAGCUGUGCAAAAGUUUAUAGGCCUUCUCAGGGCAUUGGUGGUUUUAGAGGGUUAAGUUAGAAACAGGAAAUACAGUGACUAAAGGAAAGCCAUUAAUAUUAAAUUCCACCCUUUGCCAGAUAGUCUUGUGUUAUCAUUGCUCUUUCUUGAAAUAUUUUCCAGUUUUCUUUGCAUGGCAUUUGUUACAGGGGUAGCAACUGAGGAGCUGUAAAUUGGCACAUCUCCACCUGCUUUUCUGUAGCAGUGCACAUGUGUGCUGUGGGAUUUGAAGAAUUUCCGUAGCCUCUAGAAUCGAUAUGCAAACAGUCCGCUGUACAGACAUCAGUCUGUCCGAUAGACAUGCUGCGUGACCUAAGAAA
rnacentral:lncRNA from 1 species